rnacentral:tRNA from 1 species
GGAUGGUUGGCAGAGUCUGGCUGAUUGCAGCGGCUUGCUAAGCCGCCGAACGCCGUAUCAUCGGGGUUCCGAGAGUUCGAAUCUCUCACCGUCCG